rnacentral:misc_RNA from 1 species
AACAUCGCGCACCUGCGGGAACCUGCGGAGGGAUCAUUACUGAGUCACGUGCUCAAACAACCCUUCUGUGGACCUGAAAUAAAACCGUUGCCUCGGCGGGCGGUCCCCCCCAAACCAACCCCACGUGGUGGGUUAGGGGAGACCAGACAGUCCGGUACGCUUAAGGCGUCCGGCGCCAGCCGCUGGCCCCAAACAAUUAAACUCUAGUAAUCUUUACCUUCUGAGUUUCAAUAUUUAAAG